UCUGCUUUCCAAGUACCUUAGAGCCACUGCAGAGCAUUUUGUUGACUCUACACCAAACUAACUUUGGUAGCA
rnacentral:lncRNA from 1 species